UACGUAGGGGGCAAGCGUUGUCCGGAAUCAUUGGGCGUAAAGCGCGUGUAGGCGGCUGGGUAAGUCCGCUCUGAAAGCCCGGGGCUCAACCCCGGGAGGCGGGUGGAUACUGCUCAGCUCGAGUCCGGAAGAGGAGUGUGGAAUUCCUGGUGUAGCGGUGAAAUGUGUAGAGAUCGGGAGGAACACCGGUGGCGAAGGCGGGUCUCUGGGCAUCUCCUGACGCUGAGGCGCGAAAGCGUGGGGAGCAAACGGG
rnacentral:rRNA from 1 species